rnacentral:ncRNA from 2 species
AUUUAGAAUCGCGGUGUUGGUGCUCGCGGUGUGGUUCACAUGCCGCAGUUCAACGGGAAGCAGGAAGGCGGUGCCGCAAGGCCAGCCCAACCUGCGCUGCCCCCGCAACGGUAAGCGGCGAAUGCCUCAUGGCAUUCCCCUCCAUCACAAGCAGCCACUGGGCGCGCAUGCGCGCCUGGGAAGGCGAUGGAAGGCCAGCCGCCAGCCCGGAUACCGGCCAACGAGGUGGCGGUGCG